rnacentral:rRNA from 1 species
AGCAAACAGGAUUAGAUACCCUGGUAGUCCACGCUGUAAACGAUGAGUACUAGGUGUCGGGGGUUACCCCCCUCGGUGCCGCAGCUAACGCAUUAAGUACUCCGCCUGGGAAGUACGCUCGCAAGAGGGAAACGCAAAGGAAUUGACGGGGACCCGCACAAGUAGCGGAGCAUGUGGUUUAAUUCGAAGCAACGCGAAGAACCUUACCUAAGCUUGACAUCCCAAUGA